GAACUGCUCCUAUCAACAUCAGAACUUAAGGAAAAGUCUGAGUACUACUUUGAUGGAAGAGGGAAAGCCUUCCGACCAAUUAUUGUGGCACUAAUGGACCAAGCAUUCGAUAUUCAUCAUGACAACUCCCGACAUGUGCAAGCCAGCCAGCCUACAAUAGCCUUAAUCCCAGAAAUGACCCCCAUUGCUAGUCUGGUUCAUGAAUAUGUUAUUGGCAAUGCAAGUUCUCGAAGAGGAAAACACACAGUUAAUAAGAUCUGGGAUGAAAAGAAGGCUGUUCUUGCUGGAGAUUUAAUUCUUUCUGCAGCAUCUAUAGCUCUGGCACGAACUAUUUUAACCCGUGUUAUUGAAGAUUUGGUACAUGGUGAAUUUCUUCAGCUUGGGUCAAAAGAAAAUGAGAAUGAAAGAUUUGCACACUACCUUGAAAAGACCUUUAAGAAGACAAAGCCGGGCGGGAUGGCCAGCUUGAUAGCCAACAGUUGUAAAGCAGUCUCUGUUCUAGGAUGCCCUGGCCCAGUGGUGCAUGAGAUCACCUAUCAGUAUGGAAAAAAUGUAGGAAUAACUUUUCAGCUAAUAGAUGAUGUACUAGACCUCACCUCGUGUUCUGACCAGAUGGGCAAACCAACAUCAGCUGAUCUGAAGCUUGGGUUAGCCACUGGUCCUGUCCUGUUGCCUGUCAGCAGUUCCUAGAAAUGAAUGCUAUGAUCAUGAGACAGUUCAGUUUGCCUGGAGAUGUAGACAGAGCUCGACAGUAUGUAUUACAGAGUGAUGAUGUGCAACAAACAACCUACCUCACCCAGCAGUACUGCCACAAAGUGAUAAGAGAGAUCAGUAAACUUCAACCAUCCCCAGAAAGAGAAACCCUCAUUCAACUUUCAGAAAUUGUGCUCACAAUAGAUAAAUGACUGUUCUUUCUGGCAGCCGUCUUACCAGACAGUGCCUAAAGAAUUUUAUGGAAUACACUUUAUUUGCUUCAUGUGCAGAUAACCAAAAACCAUUUUAAAAGAUAUCAAACUUAUUGAUGGGCAAUGUAUUUUUUUUAAUUGCAAAAGUUUUUUCAGAAAACUUUUUAAAUGUAAUUAAACCAUCUGAAUCUGUCAUUCUAGUCCUAUAAAUUCUAAUUGAGAUAUUUUGAUGGUUAUAUGUGGUAUUGUUUACACUGUUUGUAUCCACAUGUAAGGCUAUUACACAAAUAAAUAAUUGAUGUUAAAAUUCAAAAAAUAUUAAAACAAAAAAUAAAAUUAAAAUUAAAAAAAGGAAUUUCAUCAAUAAGAAAAAUGUAACAAAGAAGAAAAAAAGGUACAAAGAUGUGACAGGCAACUUAUAUAUGAUAACCAAAUGAUUUAAAAAAAUCUGUUCUCAUAAAUCGUUAGAGAAAUGCCAAUUAAAACAACAUUUAUAAUUAAAUAGUUUUUACCUAUAAAAACUAAGUGCCCUUGUGAAGAUUCAAACGGGCGCUCUCUCAUAUACUGUUGGGUUGGCAUGUAAAUCAGAACAGUCUCUUUGAGGGUAAAUUGGUAGUAAAUGUUAACUUUUUAAAUGUUCGAGCUCUUUGAUCCGGCAGUUCUACGGCUAUGAAUUUAUCCUAUAGAAAUACUCAUACAAGUGAACAAAAAGAGUUAAGUUGUACUGAGUGCAGUAUUUAAAAUCAUAAAAUAUUAGAAACAACCCUAUUGUUCAUCAGUUGAAAAGUAGCUACAUAAAUCACAGUGCAUGCAAAAGAUGUGAUGCAUACAGCUGUUGAAAGUGAGGUAGACCUCUAAAUGGCCUAAUGGGGAGAGGUGUUGGUGCUAAAUAAAAGGCAAGCUGGAAAGAGCUAUGUAUAGUAUGAUCCCAUUUUUUAAAAAAAUUAAAAAACAUAGUAAUGAAUAUUAGCAGAAUAGAAAAAAAUUCUGGAACACUGCCAAGUUAAGCGUCUGUCUUUAGGGAAUUGGUUCAAGAGACUUUCUAUACUAUAUGUUUUUGUACAGUUAAGAACUAUUAAAACAAAUGUGAUCUCUUAAAAUCAGGGAGAAAAACCAUACAUUUAUAAUAAUUAAAGGCAUUUUGAUCUAUUAGGUCAUUCUUGUUCACUAGGAUUCUGUAGGGAAGAUAACGUUACUAUUUCUGGCAGUGUGAAGUAUAAUUAUGGGUUGAAAUAAAACUUUUGCUUUGUAAAAUGUGGUAGGACUUAUAGCCAGGAAUUUCAAAACCCUUUACUUACCUUCCCUGACUUGAGAUGUUCACGAAUGAGAUGAUUAGCUUGUUUUACAUUCAAAAUUAUCGUCCUCCUGGUUACAUUUAUUAUUUUUGGUAGUAUGCUUGAUUCUCUCUUAACGAAAGGGGUAUAACAUUUAACAGUAUACAUUUUU